GUUCCCGCGCCCGCUGUUUGGGCAGUUCGGCGAGCCGGACCGGCGAGACAUCCUGCGCAAGUUCGAGACCGGCGCCCGCCACGACCCAGACUGUCAGGAUCUGGCGCAGCAUCUCAAGACCCUGAAGCAGCGUCCGCCGUUCCCCGUGCCGUUCACGGAGCCGCGUCCGGGCCCGUACCCGGGUCUGUACCCGGGUCCGUACCCGGGCCCGUACCCGGGGCCGUUCCCGGUGCCGUUCUCGUCGGCGGCCGCCGCGGAUGCCGACGAGCCAGAGGGCCGCAGUUCAGCCCUGUUUGGGCCCCCGGCGUUCCUCGCGGCGGGCCCGCCGCCUCCGCGCGGCCAGGGGCGGCAGCGCGCCCUCUACGUCUGCCCGCGCGACCUGCGCUGCAUACCGGACCGUGGUGCUCUGUUGGCAUGUGUUCUGC